GCGCUGCCUUUGAGCCCCCCUCGCGCCUGCGCGUGGCGCCGGGGGUUAAGCUGCAGCGCCAGAGCACGAGCUUGCGCAUAGCUGGGGCCGCGGGUGCUACACGGGCCGCGCCUUUAGCCGGAGCGACAGGG
rnacentral:snoRNA from 1 species